rnacentral:rRNA from 1 species
GAUGAACGCUGGCGGCGUGCCUAAUACAUGCAAGUCGAGCGAACAGACGAGGAGCUUGCUCCUCUGACGUUAGCGGCGGACGGGUGAGUAACACGUGGAUAACCUACCUAUAAGACUGGGAUAACUUCGGGAAACCGGAGCUAAUACCGGAUAAUAUAUUGAACCGCAUGGUUCAAUAGUGAAAGACGGUUUUGCUGUCACUUAUAGAUGGAUCCGCGCCGCAUUAGCUAGUUGGUAAGGUAACGGCUUACCAAGGCAACGAUGCGUAGCCGACCUGAGAGGGUGAUCGGCCACACUGGAACUGAGACACGGUCCAGACUCCUACGGGAGGCAGCAGUAGGGAAUCUUCCGCAAUGGGCGCAAGCUUGACGGAGCAACGCCGCGUGAGUGAUGAAGGUCUUCGGAUCGUAAAGCUCUGUUAUUAGGGAAGAACAAAUGUGUAAGUAACUAUGCACGUCUUGACGGUACCUAAUCAGAAAGCCACGGCUAACUACGUG